UCCUACGGGAGGCAGCAGUGGGGAAUAUUGCGCAAUGGGGGAAACCCUGACGCAGCAACGCCGCGUGAAUGAAGAAGGCCUUAGGGUUGUAAAGUUCUGUUUUCUGGGACGAUAAUGACGGUACCAGAGGA
rnacentral:rRNA from 1 species